rnacentral:tRNA from 1 species
GCCCCCCAUUGAGAAACCCCGGCACUUGUAAUGCGUAGGUCGUCGGUUCGAAUCCGACAGGGGGCU